UAGCGUAGGGGGCAAGCGUUGUCCGGAAUCACUGGGCGUAAAGGGCGCGUAGGUGGUUUGAUAAGGGUGUGGUGAAAGUCCGGAGCUCAACUCCGGAUCUGCCGUGCCGACUGUCAAACUCGAGGGCUGUAGAGGCAGACGGAAUUCCGGGUGUAGCGGUGGAAUGCGUAGAGAUCCGGAGGAAGACCGGUGGCGAAGGCGGUCUGCUGGGCAGUUCUGACACUGAGGCGCGACAGCG
rnacentral:rRNA from 1 species